rnacentral:rRNA from 1 species
AAUACGUAGGGUGCGAGCGUUAAUCGGAAUUACUGGGCGUAAAGCGUGCGCAGGCGGUGAUGUAAGACAGAUGUGAAAUCCCCGGGCUCAACCUGGGACCUGCAUUUGUGACUGCAUCGCUAGAGUACGGUAGAGGGGGAUGGAAUUCCGCGUGUAGCAGUGAAAUGCGUAGAUAUGCGGAGGAACACCGAUGGCGAAGGCAAUCCCCUGGACCUGUACUGACGCUCAUGCACGAAAGCGUGGGGAGCAAACAGGAUUAGAUACCCUGGUAGUCCACGCCCUAAACGAUGUCAACUGGUUGUUGGGCCUUCACUGACUCAGUAA